rnacentral:rRNA from 1 species
GGAAUUUUCCGCAAUGGGCGAAAGCCUGACGGAGCAAUACCGCGUGAGGGAAGACUGCCUAUGGGUUGUAAACCUCUUUUUUCAGGGAGGAAUAAAAUGACGUGUACCUGAAGAAUAAGCAUCGGCUAACUCCGUGCCAGCAGCCGCGGUAAGACGGAGGAUGCAAGUGUUAUCCGGAAUCACUGGGCGUAGAGCGUCUGUAGGUGGUUUGAUAAGUCAACUGUUAAAUCUUGAGGCUCAACUUCAAAAUCGCAGUCGAAACUAUUAGACUAGAGUAUAGUAGAGGUAAAGGGAAUUUCCAGUGGAGCGGUGAAAUGCGUAGAUAUUGGAAAGAACACCGAUGGCGAAAGCACUUUACUGGGCUAUUACUAACGCUCAGAGACGAAAGCUAGGGUAGCAAAUGGGAUUAGAUACCCCAGUAGUC